GUUGACAAAUAUAUUGUAUUGAAAUCCCAGGGUAGUGUGGGAGUGAGUGAUAAUGCAUGCACCUGUUUCACCUGUUUAUGAUGAUGAUGAUGAUGAAGAUGAAUACGGCGGAGUUUUUCUUCAUGAUUCUGACGUAAUCCAUGAGGUUUCCAUGGACAGUGAAGAUCUUCCUGAUGCUGAUGCCGAUGCAGAUGAUGGUUCUCAAGAGGAGGAGGGAGAUGACGAUGACGGUAUCUACAAAUUCACUUCUCAUUAUCCGGAUGAAGAUUUUGUUGACCAGUAUAAAUCAAUCCAUGAAUGUUCCAUGGACACUGAAAUUGAAGAUGAAAAAGGGGUGUGCGCAGUUGCCUGCAGCCCAACAGAUGCAACAUUGGUGGCUACAGGGGGUUGUGAUGACAGAGGAUUUCUCUGGAGGAUUGGCCAAGAUGACUUUUUUGAGAUUCAUGGUCAUAAUGACACUGUAGAUAGUUUAGCAUUUAGCUAUGAUGGACAGCUUCUUGCAUCGGGAAGCCUAGAUGGAAUUGUUAAAGUCUGGGGUGUAUCUGGCAAUUGGGAAGGUAAAACACUGGAAGGUCCUGGAGGGGACAUUGAGUGGCUCAGAUGGCAUCCAAGAGGACACAUACUCUUAGCUGGUUUUCUGGAUUCCACUGUUCGGAUGUGGAAUACAGAUAGAUCUUCCUUACUUAAUACAUUUACUGGUCAUAGCCAUAGAGUAACCUGUGGUGACUUUACUCCUGAUGGAAAAAAAAUAUGUACUGGUUCUGAUGAUGCAACCAUGAGGAUAUGGAAUCCAAGAAGUGGAGAAAGCAUUUAUGUUGUGAAGGGUCAUUCGUAUCAUGAUGAUGGAUUAACAUGCUUGGCAAUAAGUUCAACCUCAACUCUUGCUCUUACUGGUUCUAAGGAUGGAUCUGUCCAUAUUGUGCAUAUCCCCACCGGAAGAGUUGUUGAUAAUGGUGCUCUUGGUUCUCAUGCAGAUUCUGUUGAGUGUGUUGGGUUUGCACCAAGUAGGAGGCAUGGAUAAAAGACUGAUCAUCUGGGAUGUAGAGCAUUUAUUAUCCCGAGGCACUUGUGAACAUGAGGAUGGAGUGACAUGUUUGUCAUGGCUUGGUGCAUCGUGUGUGGCUACUGGUGGUUGUGAUGGUAAAGUGAGAUUAUGGGAUAGCCGGUCUGGAGAAUGUGUAAAAACAUUCAAGGGGCAAACUAACGUCAUUUCAUCUCUUUCUGUGUCUGCUAAUGGGAAUUACCUUGUAUCGGAUUCGUAUGAUGGAACAGCUCGUGCUUUUGAGGUUGGAAAUUUCCGAUGAAUAAAGCGUCUUGGAUCUUUGCAUAUGAUAUGACGUUGUCAUCAUCCAAGCAGAGCCCUUUUCUGGGAAUGCCCCCAAUGUACGUACAAGUGGAUUGUUAUUCUACUGCAGAAGCCGGAUUUUAAUUUUAUGCCGAAAAUAAAAACAAUAGAUUGAGACAUUAUAGAACCGAUUUUUUUUUUAGAUUAUUUUUUCUCUUUAAUAUUAGUUUUAAUUUUCAUACU